UACGAAGGGGGCUAGCGUUGCUCGGAUUGACUGGGCGUAAAGGGCGCGUAGGCGGUUCGUACAGUCAGACGUGAAAUUCCUGGGCUCAACCUGGGGGCUGCGUUUGAUACGUGCGGACUUGAGUGCGGAAGAGGGUCGUGGAAUUCCCAGUGUAGAGGUGAAAUUCGUAGAUAUUGGGAAGAACACCGGUGGCGAAGGCGGCGACCUGGUCCGAUCUGACGCUGAGGCACGAAAGCGUGGGGAGCAAACAGG
rnacentral:rRNA from 1 species